GUCUACGGCCAUGCUACCCUGAACAAGCCCAAUCCUGUCUGAUCUCUGAAGCUAAACAGGGUCGGGCCUGGUUAGUACUUGGAUGGGAGACCACCUAGGAAGACCAGGUGCUGUAGGUG
rnacentral:rRNA from 1 species